CUACGGGUCGCAGCAGUGGGGAAUAUUGCACAAUGGGCGCAAGCCUGAUGCAGCCAUGCCGCGUGUAUGAAGAAGGCCUUCGGGUUGUAAGGUACUUUCAGCGGGGAGGAAGGGAGUAAAGUUAAUACCUUUGCUCAUUGACGUUACCCGCAGAAGAAGCACCGGCUAACUCCGUGCCAGCGGCCGCGGUAAUACGGAGGGUGCAAGCGUUAAUCGGAAUUACUGGGCGUAAAGCGCACGCAGGCGGUUUGUUAAGUCAGAUGUGAAAUCCCCGGGCUCAACCUGGGAACUGCAUCUGAUACUGGCAAGCUUGAGUCUCGUAGAGGGGGGUAGAAUUCCAGGUGUAGCGAUGAUAUGCGUAGAGAUCUGGAGGAAUACCGGUGGCGAAGGCGGCCCCCUGGACGAAGACUGACGCUCAGGUGCGAAAGCGUGGGGAGCAAACAGGAUUAGAUACCCUGGUAGUC
rnacentral:rRNA from 1 species